CUGGAAGGGCGGAGAAUCGCUCCGAGCCGCGCUCGGGGAGGAAAGUCCGAACUCCAUAGGGCGCGAUGCCGUGUAACCCAUGCUUGUGCGGGUGGGAUAGACACGGGCGGGGGAGUCGAAAGGUUCCUUCGACGGACAGUGCCACAGAAAAUAUACCGCCGCUGGAGCUGUGUGUCAGCGGUAAGGGUGAAAAGGCGGGGUAAGAGCCCACCGCUGCGCGAGUAAUCGCGCAGGCACGGAAAACCCCAUCGGGAGCAAGGCCAAAUAGGAGACCACGGAGCGGCCCGCUCCACGGCCAAAAGCCGGGUCUCGGGUACUGGCUGCUCAGACAAAUGAUUCUCUCCCUCGCUCCAGUUUUGUAGCGAAAACGCGGGAGCAUGCGCAACGAUCAGCGCUGCAAAACUGGGGCGGGGCAGACAGAAAUCGGCUUACAGCCCUUCCAGGAUC
rnacentral:RNase_P_RNA from 1 species